rnacentral:lncRNA from 1 species
GAGUUAGGCCCCAAGUGACAAGACCCAACCAAAAUGGAGUCACUCAUGCCAAAUGCUACAUUAUCACGGAAACUUUUUUUUUCUUUUUUUAAAGAGAGAGUUAGAGAGAGAAUUUUUUAAAUAUUUAUUUUCUAGUUUUCGGCGGACACAACAUCUUUGUUUGUGAGGAUCGAACCCGGCCGAACGAAUGCCAGGUGAGUGCGCUACCGCUUGAGCCACAUCCCCAGCCCAUCACGGAAACUUUUAAAGAAGCAGAUGAAACCCCAAACACACCAUUUUUCCUAAAAAACAAACAAACAAACAACAACAAAAAAAAGCCAGACAUCCCUGUCUACCUGAGUCUGUGUGUAAGGAAGUCCCCUUUGCCAUAACCCCUCCAGAAUGUAACCUAAAUAACAUGAUGUUGGCCAAUCAGCUUUUUUGGCCCUAUUGUUUUGUUCCCUCCAUCUCACCUUACAAAGCCCACUCUUCUCCCAUGGCUGGUAGGACCUCACAUUCCGUACUGUAGAAUGGAGGCUGCCAGAGCCGUGCAUAGUGGCCUGUAAUCCCAGCAACUCGGGAUGCCGAGGCAGGAGGAUCUCAAGUUCAAGACCAGCCUCAGCAACCUAGCAAGACUGUUUCAAAAUAAAAAAUAAAAAGGGCUGUGGAUGUAGCUCAGUGGUAGAAUGCCCCUGGGUUUAGAUCCCCAAUAACACACACACACACACACACACACAAGGCUACUCUGAUUUAUGACUUGUGAAUAAAAACUAAUGCGAUCUAUAACUAAAUUUGUUGUGAUUUCGUCUUUCACCAUGGCUCUACCACAGUCUUGCCAGGUAACUUUGAGGACGUAGCUUCUCUCCUCCAAAUCUCAGUUUCCCCAUGCGGAAAGUAAUGUCCACCUCAUGGAAUUGUUGGUGAGUUUUCCCUGAGGUUUUGUAAAGUACUUCCCACCAGCCCAG